GCCUCUCAAACUGACGCUCGUUAGCACCUAGUAGGUUAACCCUAACCGACGAUUCGGGAAAUACCCGCGUUCAAAGAUGUCAACUUGAUUUUCUUGCGAGCAGCAGAAGGAAGGAGGAAAGAAAAACUUCCAUAAUUUUUUCUGACGUCUUUCUCUCUUCUCUUUCAAUCUCUAUCUAUUUUCCCAUUUCAAAAUAUUAUCUUCCAUUUUUUCAAUCUAUAUUUAUUAAUUAAUCAAUCAAUUCUUAAUUAAUUAUUGAUUAUCAACAAAUAAUUCUUAAUUACGAUCGUUGUGUUGUGUUGUGUUGUGGAUAUGUCAUACGCAUACCUUUUCAAAUACAUUAUCAUCGGAGAUACCGGAGUGGGGAAAUCAUGUCUUCUUCUGCAGUUUACAGACAAGAGGUUUCAGCCUGUGCACGACUUGACCAUUGGUGUUGAAUUUGGGGCCAGGAUGGUUACAAUUGAUAACAAGCCUAUAAAGUUGCAGAUUUGGGAUACGGCUGGUCAAGAAUCAUUUAGAUCUAUCACAAGGUCUUAUUACCGAGGGGCUGCUGGCGCUCUUCUGGUUUAUGACAUUACCAGGAGGGAGACUUUUAAUCACCUUGCAAGUUGGCUGGAAGAUGCGAGGCAACAUGCAAAUGCAAACAUGACAAUCUUGCUUGUUGGUAACAAAAGUGAUCUUGCUCAUAGGAGAGCAGUAAGCACUGAGGAAGGCGAGCAGUUUGCAAAGGAACAUGGAUUGAUAUUUAUGGAGUGUUCUGCAAAAACUUCUCAAAAUGUUGAGGAGGCAUUUAUACAAACUGCUUCCACAAUCUACAAGAAGAUUCAGGAUGGAGUUUUUGAUAUAUCAAAUGAGGCAUUUAAAUUGUGUCAAGGGAGAGGCGUUAACCUAAUAGAAGUUUGACGACCAAAUAAGCUUUUACAAUAUGUCAUUACCUCAACGUCAAGUCGCUCCUGCUGAGACGGAGUUUGGAGGAUCGAAUUCUUACGGGAUUAAAGUUGGAUAUGGAGGUACUCAAGGAAACGCUGCUGGAAGAGACGUGUCUACGCAGAGAGGACCAUGUUGUAGUGGUUGACAUGUUGCUGGUGCCUGGUAGAGUUCACUACAGUUCGCUGUUCGUCUUUAGAUGUUUGAUCGAAUAGAGGGUCUUGUAUGUAAAGUAAUGUGAUUUGUGCAAAUAUAUGUUAAAAUCAUCAAUCCUAUGUAAUUGACUGUGGAGACUACAUUUGUUCAUUUGCUCUUCCUUUGAUUUAUCCAUGCAAGGCAUGGGUUGUAAACUGUGAAAUUCUUUCUUUUGCUCCCUGUAAAUUCUAUUGGAAGAAUGAAUAAAGUGACAUUCUGAUUACUAACCUUAAAAA